rnacentral:lncRNA from 1 species
CAGAAUGGGGGUUGAUGAGACCCCAGCCAGGGAAGCCGGCGCAGACUUUCUGGCUAUGUGAGCCUCUGCCCCCAGGGCUGCGGGAGGGCUGGCGACAGUGCCCGGCGCUCUCUACCCAGGAAACGGUGCUGUGACCGCCCCCUUUUCACAGAAAGGAGAAAAGAGUGGGGAGAGAUUAACCGGCCUGAGGACCCACAGUUUAUAGACGGCAGGUGCUUUCAACCAUCCUUUUAACCAUAAGCUUCAUCUGUGGUUUUGGCCUGUUUCUUUUUCCUUUUUUUUUUUCUCACAU